rnacentral:rRNA from 1 species
GCACGAAGCUGGAAUCGCUAGUAAUCGCGAAUCAGAAUGUCGCGGUGAAUACGUUCCCGGGUCUUGUACACACCGCCCGUCACACCAUGGGAGUCAGCAACGCCCGAAGUCAGUGACCCAACCGAAAGGAGGGAGCUGCCGAAGGCGGGGCAGGUAACUGGGGUGAAGUCGUAACAAGGUACC